rnacentral:lncRNA from 1 species
GGGGAACGGAAAGCAUUUUCUUUAGGCAGCGGGUGAGCAAUUAUGGAAGGGAGGAAGGAAGAGGGGGAUAGAAUCAGUCAGGGGCCAGGAAGGGAAAAGCGAGCUCGCGAGCAGGGCGGGAUAAGCGCGCAUCUGCACAGGGGACGGCGGGGCGGGCGAGGUCUCCUCGGGCGGCCACAGGGGGGCGCUCUGGAGGGGCCGCCUGCAGCACUGGGCCUGCGAAAGGGCGGCAGCUGCGCCCAACAGAGAGCCCGCAGGGAAGGCCCAGGCUGAUCAGCUGCCACCAGGUUCCAACCUUGUGCUACCACCUGGUACUGGCUAAGACCAAGCAGGCAUCGGAGAACCCGCUGCUGACUCCAUAGGCGAGCAGCAGACGCCUGCGUGGAGAAGGGCAGAGAGGGGAUCUGGAGAGGCCACGGGGAGACAGCCAGCAGACAAACCCCCGGAGGCGGUGGCCCAAAGUCCUGUGGCAGCUCAGGUCGGACACGGAGGGCAUUCAGGCUAAAUGCAGUAGAGGAGGCCCCCUGAACAGGUAAACUGCCGGGGGUCCUCUAGUCUCCCGAGUUUCUGCUGAAGUAUUUCAAGUGAGCCCCCAAAACUCCAGACACUUGCUAACAUAUCAGCCAUGUUUUUUUUAUUUCCCUCGUCUGAAACGAUCCUGUACCCUUUCUCUAUCGUCUGCGCCUCGGGGAGUUUCCUGCGAACUUGUCUCGUUUGUCACUGUUCCCCCAGCACGGAGAACAGUGCCUGCUGGGGUCCCCACCUGCUGAAAUCUAGGCAGGGAUCCCUCACGGAGGAAAACAAAACACACAAGCCCAAGACACAAGUUGUGCUAAAAGCAACCUCCGGUCUAUGAAGGAGCUGAGGAGCAGGGCAAGACGUGGGAAGGAGAAAGGGGAAAACUUUCCUGUCACGUGUUCUGCCGUGCUCACAGCUGAUGGCCACAAAGUAUGAGAGUUAGAGCUCUAUGCCACCUCCCAAGAGCUUUCUCUGCCCUCACUUAAUGGAGAGCUGGAGAGCUGCCCAUCUGGGGGCCCGAGCAUCACCUUCGAGAGCCGCCCAUCCUGGGGCCUGGGCAUCGCCUUCGUGGCCCGUCUUCUCUGCGGAAGCACCUGGGGCAGUUACAGAACUCAGAGGCCUUUCCGGUUGGAGGGUCCCCAGCCAUACAUGGAUUUAUGCUGCACCCAGUUCCUGGUGGAGGAAGGUCUGUUCUGACAUCAAACAGUCCGUCAGCAUCUCUGUUCCAGAAACUGCUGGCAUGAUGAGUGGGCUGCACAAAGGUAGCGGGUGA